UACGUAGGCAGCAAGCGUUGUUCGGAAUUACUGGGCGUAAAGAGUGUGUAGGCGGUGCUCUAAGUCUGUUGUGAAAUCUCCCGGCUUAACUGGGAGGGUGCGGCGGAGACUGGAGUGCUAGAGUGUGGGAGAGGUAAGCGGAAUUCCUGGUGUAGCGGUGAAAUGCGUAGAUAUCGGGAGGAACACCAGUGGCGAAGGCGGUUGCCUGGAGCUUUGCUGACGCUGAUGCGCGAAAGCGUGGGGAGCGAGUCCGG
rnacentral:rRNA from 1 species